UACAUGGGGUGCAAACGUUGCUCGGAAUUAUUGGGCGUAAAGCGCGCGUAGGCGGUUGCUCAAGUCGGAUGUGAAAGCCCUCGGCUUAACUGAGGAAGUGCACCCGAAACUGAGUAGCUAGAGUACUAAAGAGGGUCGCGGAAUUCCCGGUGUAGAGGUGAAAUUCGUAGAUAUUCGCAAGAACACCAGUGGCGAAGGCGGCUCACUGGCCCGAUACUGACGCUGAGGCACGAAAGCGUGGGGAGCAAACAGG
rnacentral:rRNA from 1 species